GACGAACGCUGGCGGCGUGCCUAAUACAUGCAAGUUGAGCGCUGAAGGUUGGUACUUGUACCAACUGGAUGAGCAGCGCACGGGUGAGUAACGCGUGGGGAAUCUGCCUUUGAGCGGGGGACAACAUUUGGAAACGAAUGCUAAUACCGCAUAAAAACUUUAAACACAAGUUUUAAGUUUGAAAGAUGCAAUUGCAUCACUCAAAGAUGAUCCCGCGUUGUAUUAGCUAGUUGGUGAGGUAAAGGCUCACCAAGGCGAUGAUACAUAGCCGACCUGAGAGGGUGAUCGGCCACAUUGGGACUGAGACACGGCCCAAACUCCUACGGGAGGCAGCAGUAGGGAAUCUUCGGCAAUGGACGAAAGUCUGACCGAGCAACGCCGCGUGAGUGAAGAAGGUUGUCGGAUCGUAAAACUCUGUUGGUAGAGAAGAACGUUGGUGAGAGUGGAAAGCUCAUCAAGUGACGGUAACUACACAGAAAGGGACGGCUAACUACGUG
rnacentral:rRNA from 1 species